UACAGAGGUCUCAAGCGUUGUUCGGAUUCAUUGGGCGUAAAGGGUGCGCAGGCGGCCAAGUGUGUGAGGCGUGAAAGCCUGGAGCUUAACUCCAGAAUUGCACCUCAAACUACUUGGCUAGAGCAUUGGAGAGGGUAGCAGAAUUCAUGGUGUAGCAGUGAAAUGCGUAGAUAUCAUGAGGAAUACCAGAGGCGAAGGCGGCUACCUGGACAAUUGCUGACGCUCAGGCACGAAAGCGUGGGGAGCAAAAGGG
rnacentral:rRNA from 1 species